UCAUAAUACAAUUGUCAUGUCCACAAUCUAACUAUUACAUAACAUCACUUCAUACUCUGGCUAACCUCCUGGUCUACCCUGUACCUGCACAUCUGGGGUUAGGGGAGAGGGGUGAGCUAUAAAGCCCAGUGAGCAGAAUAGAAAAAAAACAUAUAUUAAAAUAUUUCAUGCUUCCAUGAAAUGCAACACAUCACAAACAUAUCACAUAAGGAUGGUAUUGUCACCUAUAGUCCUCAACAUAGUCCAGUCGUGCCAGGGGCGUAGAAUGGGCCUCACUGGUCUUUCUCUUACAUACAUAACAUAACAUAACAUUCCAAUAUGCCAGGGGCGUAGAAUGGGCCUCACUGGUCUUUCUCUUAACAUAGUCCAGGGGCGUAGAAUGGGCCUCACUGGCAAUCCAUACCGUAUCAUCAUCAUCAUAUCAUACCAUAGGAGGACUAGAGGAUCAUCCAAUAGCCAAUCCGCAUCCACAUCAUAUUAUGCAAUGCAACAUAUUCGUGAAUACUAAUGUAAACAACCUAGAAUAUCACAUGGCAUAUAUGAUGCAUGAACAUGCUCCAAAAAGUUAUGUUUCAUUUAUUUAAAAACUUAAGGUUCAUUCCACUCACCUCUGGCUGAAGCUCUACAGACUCUGAAGCAGCUAUCUCACUGCUGAGGUCCUCGGUUCCUCGGGUCCGAACCUACACAGGUGGACUCCAAUGAGGGACCAAACAUAUAUAAACAUAACUCUAAUAAAC
rnacentral:lncRNA from 1 species